GAUGAGCACAGGAGGAGUGGAGAAGCGGAAGAACAAUCUUCAGGCUCAUUCUCUUUCCUAGUUAGUGUGUGUCUGCAGCAUAGGAGAAUGACAUCACCCUUGGGGAUUUGGAGCAUGUCCGUACCCCAUCUGGAUCCUUUGUACUCUCCCGGACCCACCACCACGCCCCCCCCGUCCUGGUCCUUGGGCCUCCCUGGCCGCUUCGGACUCUACCUCCCUAUUUCCAGCCGUCUGUCUUUUCUUUGGCUGUCAAAACUAUUUUUCCUUUGGGUGUCUCCUGUUGGAGAACCCCCUGUCAUAUUUAUACCUCCGCAGUUCAUUGUUUUACUUAUAAUUAUGACCUCAGUAGCCAUCCACCUUGCCAUCAGUGUCUGCAGUUCAUCUCUCCUCAUGGUUCAGCAGUAUUCCUUGUGUACGUUUACCACCUUUUCAUCGUCCGUUCGUCUUCGAUGGGCAUAGGGACCACUUCCAUAUUUUACCUAUCUGUAAGGCUUGUGCUAGCCUCAGUGUCUCAGUUUACUUUCUGUUUGCUUGAGCAAAAUCUCUGACACAGAUGAAAGGAGGAAAGGUUUAUUUUGACUGACAGUUUGUUGAUGUUUCGAUCCAUAGUUGGCUGGUUCUAAGGCAAGAUGGCGUGGUUGAAAAGAAAGAGUUCAUGGCUAGGCAGGCAGUAAGAAGCAAAGGCUGGGGGCAGGAGGAAGGGUCUAGCUCUCUCCAGGGCACGCCCACAAGGACCCUCUCCUCCCACCAGGCUUCACCUCCCAGCAUGAGACCCAGACAGAAACCCAUCCGUGCACUAGCCCCGGUAUGACAGGCCCGAUCCAGUCACUUCCCACACGCACGGCCUCUGAGCAGAGAAGGCUUUGGGGGGACAUCUAGAUGACCUGAAUCCACCUGGAACCAAGAGGAAGUGGCGUGGGAGUCCGUUUCCGCCUGGUACCUGGAGGGCGGAGACAGUGCCACCAAUUACCUGGCACACAGUGUAGAUGAAAGUUAUUUGACCUUUUCCACAUGGCGCAACUUCUCAGCGUUCCCCGAGCCUGCCUGGAGUCCGGGCUUCCCAGGACCUGAGUCCACCUGGAAGCAAGAGGAAGUGGCGUGGGAGUCCGUUUCUGCCUGGUGAGUGUGAGGGUCACGGGCUGUGGAGGCAGAGGUGGCCUGUGAGAUCUCAGGUGCAGGGAAAAGCGGG
rnacentral:lncRNA from 1 species